UCCCUGGUGGCUCAGAUGGUAAAGCAUCUGUUUGCAAAGUGGGAGACCCAGGUUCGAUCCCUGGGUCGGGAA
rfam:Ovis aries breed Texel chromosome 10, whole genome shotgun sequence.